rnacentral:rRNA from 1 species
AUUGAACGCUGGCGGCAGGCUUAACACAUGCAAGUCGAGCGGAGAUGAGGUGCUUGCACCUUAUCUUAGCGGCGGACGGGUGAGUAAUGCUUAGGAAUCUGCCUAUUAGUGGGGGACAACAUUCCGAAAGGAAUGCUAAUACCGCAUACGCCCUACGGGGGAAAGCAGGGGAUCUUCGGACCUUGCGCUAAUAGAUGAGCCUAAGUCGGAUUAGCUAGUUGGUGGGGUAAAGGCCUACCAAGGCGACGAUCUGUAGCGGGUCUGAGAGGAUGAUCCGCCACACUGGGACUGGGACACGGCCCAGACUCCUACGGGAGGCAGCAGUGGGGAAUAUUGGACAAUGGGCGGAAGCCUGAUCCAGUCAUGCCGCGUGUGUGAAGAAGGCCUUUUGGUUGUAAAGCACUUUAAGCGAGGAGGAGGCUACCUGGAUUAAUACUCUAGGAUAGUGGACGUUACUCGCAGAAUAAGCACCGGCUAACUCUGUGCCAGCCGCCGCUGUAACAC